GUUGUUUUUUUAAGUUUAAAGUUUGCCUGUUUAAAUGUACGUGUACGCUAUUUUCAACUGUUUGUAUUUAAUGUAUUUUAACCCCCUCUAACCCUAGCCCUCAAGUAGACAGAUGGACGACAACCAAAAAUACAACUAACUAGGUUUAAAAACAAGAUAUUAGGAUAUAAUCACCCAGGAAACAUCAAUACGGUGAAAUUAUCUAAAAUGUCUGAUUCUAAGACAUGCCAAUUAACUCACUGGUAAAACAGACAAUAUAUUCAUUACUAGACGUGAUCCAUGAAAUACAUCAGAAAACACCCGCCUUGGCCAAACAUUGCUUCAUUAAUUUGUCUUACCUAAUUCUACAGGAUACAUCUGACUAUUAACAUCUAAUAUCAAGUCCAUUUUAAAUGACUCACUCUCACAAAAUAAUCUUGACACUGAAAAACAGGAAAAAAGAUAAUCUAAUAACACAAAUGAAAAAUAAAAAUUUGGGCAUUUUGGAGAGUU